rnacentral:rRNA from 1 species
GGGUGCGAUCAUACCAGCAAUAAUGCACCGGAUCCUAUCAGAGCUCCGAAGUUAAGCUUUCUUGGGUGAGAGAAGUACUAGGAUGGGUGACCUCCUCAGAAGUCCUCGUGUUGCACCCCUA